rnacentral:rRNA from 1 species
CAAAAACAGUCCCAGUUCGGAUAGUGGGCUGCAAACCGCCCACAUGAAGUCGGAGUUGGUAGUAAUCGCGGAUCAGCAUGCCGCGGUGAAUACGUUCC